rnacentral:rRNA from 1 species
CCUUGCGCUCUUGGAGCGGCCGAUGUCUGAUUAGCUAGUUGGUGAGGUAAAGGCUUACCAAGGCGNCGAUCAGUAGCUGGUCUGAGAGGACGACCAGCCACACUGGGACUGAGACACGGCCCAGACUCCUACGGGAGGCAGCAGUGGGGAAUUUUGGACAAUGGGGGAAACCCUGAUCCAGCCAUGCCGCGUGAGUGAAGAAGGCCUUCGGNYUGUAAAGCUCUYUCAGCCGGAACGAAACGGUYACGGYUAAUANCUGUGAUCACNUGACGGUACCGGAAGAAGAAGCACCGGCUAACUACGUGCCAGCAGCCNCGGUAAUACGUAGGGUGCRAGCGUUAAUCGGAAUUACUGGGCGUAAAGCGUGCGCAGGCGGUUUUGUAAGNCAGAUGUGAAAUCCCCGGGCYYAACCUGGGANC